AUUUCAUAAAAUGGAUUCAGAGCUUCAAAACCACCAGAAUGCGGACUAAAUGGUUUCGAACCAACUGUUAUAUUUCACCGAGGAGGGUGGUGCACUACAAAAUUGCAGCAGCAUGCUCUUCCUUCAUGGAUACUAUAGCAGCAGCGGAACAUCUAUUGACAACUAGCCAGCAGCUAACCAGCGCGCCUGCUGAUCCCGCCAGCGUUUCCGGAACGCUAUGAAAUGCGGAAAAGAUGAUUCCCACCGAAUCAGCAGCAUACGUAUUGGGAAUCUUUUCCGAAAGGGCAAGUAUCGCAGCAGUGUAAACAUCCGGUAAACCAGGAGCAGCAGUCCCACUGAUUUACCCGGAGUUUCUGGAACGCAAUGGAAUGUACCAUUUACAUAAAUCUUUUUCAAAGGGUGGUGUAGAGCUCGGCGUAGACCUGGCCCGUAGCAAUGCACUUCGGAAGCAGAGGGAAACCGGAAGCAGCAGCCCUUGUCGGCCCCCAUAACCGUCCAUAUAAUCCAUGAGAUACGGAUGGUAGCAUCAUCAUCAGAACUGGCAAGCAACAGCCAUGAGACCAGAUGAAAAUCACCACCAAAUCACCAAUCUACAUGAUCUCCGCAACGAGUUGUUCCCAACCGUGAAGCAGGCAGGAAUGCUGUUGGGCCAUAUAUUGCAUCGGCAUAACAUAAAACGCGGUUUAUACCCUUUUAAAAAAUAAUAU